GAAAGCCGUCAUGGGAUUCUGUUGCCAGCACUGAUUCUCAUUUUCCUGCUGAUACUUUGUGUUGCUACUGCUGCCAUCUUAUUCAGACAUAAAGUGGCUUCCAGACUCCUUUGUCAUCGUGCACAGACGCCAGUGACCAGUGAGGAAAUAAAACACUGCUUCUGUUUCCAGUGGGCUUUAUAAAGAUCAAUGACAAUGCACAGUACUCAUUUUAUAUUUGAUUUUGUUUUAACAGAAUGCGGUCUUUCUGAAUCUGAAUCUCAGAGAUUGGACAUAUGUUACACCCCUAUCUUGAUCAGCCCUAUGGAGGAAGGUCAGUGUUAUUGUACUGUAUAUUGGUUUCUUUUCACCAUUUACGGCUAUCAACAAGUCACCAGCUAGUGUGAAGUUGUAUUUUACCAAGGUGUAAUCACGGUAGAUUUCCAACCAAAGCAGGAUAUAAAGACAGACACAUUGACGGUAACAUAUUAAAUAACUGAUGCUGUAUUUAAAGCUCAUAAAAAGCAUUCGGAAAAUACCUUCUAGGCGGGAGUGUGCCAACAUCGCCUUUAUUUAAUAUUUUUUGGAGAAAACUUUCUAAAAAUUAGUUUUUUUCAAUGUAUGACAUUUAAACCUUUGAUGGUCUUAUUUUUAAUAUUUAAAAAAUUUUUUUGAUAAUUUAGGAUUUCCAUGUUUUGACAAAAUAAUUUUAGAAAGUUUUAUCCAAAUUCUUUAGAGAAUGAUUAAUCUGACAUUCCUUCUUGACCCCAGAAUGGCAUUUUUUCCUAGUUUGUUGCAAAAUUGGAAGUGCUUCAAACCGGGUUUUUUUUUGCCUUCUUUUGGAUCAACAGCAAAAAACAAAUGUGAGGAAGGCUGAACUUGAUGGACACAUCUCUUUUCAGCUAUGUAACGACAGAUUCCUCAUUCCUUACCUCCAUAGUGUAUUAUGAAAUGGUAUCCAUGCUAAAUACAAAACAUUUCAAUGAAAAUCUUCCCUAUUUAGGAUCUGAAAACCCCAGUAAUUGUAAAAAGGAAAAUACAGUAUUCACUGGACACAUUUCUGCUUAAUUCAUCUUACUUUUCCAGGGGAGCAUUGAGCGGUUUAGGAGUUUAUUUAAAACCUAAUGUUUUAGCUGUAAGGGGGAGCCGUGAACCCAUUUCAGAACCUCACAGCUAGAUAUACCCAGAUCCACCUUAGCAGGAAUGCCAUAGUGUGAAUGUGUGUCUUAAAUUUCCCAGAAUGCCAUGUUUAUUUCAAUCUCUUCAUUCACAGACUCUCCAGCUUCCAGUACGGAACACGUGAGUAUGUCCCCAAUACAGCUUGCAUUGCACAAGAAAACUGGUGUAUUCGCUCUGCAAACAUUGAAAAGCUUAGAUUGUGUCUCUAAUUAAAGUUGCAACCCAAGAUAGAGUACUGUAUGCAAGUGUGUUGGAACUGCAGGUAUAAGGUUACACGUCUGCCCACGCACAGUGUAUUAUAACUGCAGCUAUCUGGAUGAAACAUUACACAGAGUUACACCCCUCGCACACUCGACAGCCCAGAACUCUGUUUCAGACUGCCCACUGGUAAUUCUGUGCAUAUUUGAUGUAUUCUGAUAAAGUUGUGUGUCUCCCUUCCCUCUUUUCUCUGAGCUGGCUAAACGUUCCAAUCAAAGGCUUCUCUGUGAAAAGCCCUUGAUAGGAUGCUGGAAAAAAGAUUGGAUAGGACACCCCUUUGAAAAUAGCACCUGGGACUUUGCUCAGUGCUGGAUUUCAGACAAAUAAAACCUUAUUUUAGUUCUUUCUGUAGUGUUUUGGGCCCACCAACUCCCAAAGGGCAUUAUUACUUUAAAAUGAAACAAAAAGUUACGUGUUGGAGUAACAUUUAAGGAAAAAAAAAAAUAUCUCCACAUUAGCUCUGCUGCCAGUUCAGCUACUUUGAAAUUCUUUUUAAUUUCCUGACCAUUUCCACUUUAGUAUAUAACUGUAGCUAUGAGCACCUUUCACGGUUGAUGCAAUUUAAAAAUCCCAAUCAGCUCCUUCACAGUUUUCGCUGUAUGUUGAACUAGAUGGCUGCAGUUGUUUUAAUUAUAUACAGCAAUGCAUAGAUCUUACAGAGGGUUAUGUGGCGGUCAGUAACCCCAGUGAGCAGAAUGGAUUAUGAUCUGCAUCUCUCACCUGGUUCCAUUCUGUACAGUUUACACCUUUAGUUUGGAAGCUCCUCUGUUCCAUUCAAUGUCUCUGACUGUGUAUUGUCUUGUAAUCAGGGUGACUCCAUUAUCUACAGUUCCGUGCAGACAGAAACAAAC
rnacentral:lncRNA from 1 species